AUUAAGCGAUGAGCAACGAAAUGUCCACUAAUUUACAGUAAACGGAAGGUGAACACAAAGCAGGAGUAUCAAAGAAAAUGUGCAUAAAAUAAAGUCAAAAAUAAUUGAUUUCUUAUGCUUUGUCUAAGCGCGCUCUUCUACGCGUUCAUCUACAACAAGUGUGAAGUGUAUCGCAGACGCGAGACGCGGUUUCAUCCAGUGAAUGGUGUGGGAAUGCGCGCACUGCAGGGCACCGCCAGAGAGGUGGAGGUGGCCGAGGCCGCUGAGGAAAGGCAGGAUGGAGAUUAAAUAGUUUUAGCUUGAAGACGCAGGUGUUUCUUGAAUGUAACUUUUUUUUGACUCAAAUUGUUUUAAAAUAUAUACAUAUAUACACUUAAAUAUUUAAAAAAUUCUAA
rnacentral:lncRNA from 1 species